AACUAUAUGUAUAUAUAUAUAUAUAGUGAUUUCUGCACAAUGUAAUUAUAAAUUGCCGCAGUACUCUGACUGUGCUAAGGUAGCAUAAUCAUUUGGCUUAUAAUUGAAGUCUAGUAUGAAUGAGGCCAUGGGGGUUAACUGUUUCAAGUCAGUAGUUUAAAAUUACUUGGAGGGUGAAAAUACCCUUAUCUAAAUAAUAGACGAGAAGACCCUAGAAAUUUUGAAGAUACUUUAUUUAAGAUUAUUUUUGUUGGGGCGACAGAGUAGCAGUAAACCUACUUUUAAUAUAAGCAACGAAUUGGUUGUAUAAAUAAAUUACUCUAGGGAUAACAGCAUAAUAUUUAAAAGUUUGUGACCUCGAUGUUGGACUAGGAAAAUAUAGCUUAGAAGGCUAUUAUUAUUGCUCUGUUCG
rnacentral:rRNA from 1 species